rnacentral:ncRNA from 1 species
CCCCAUCCGACCCGUCUUGAAACACGGACCAAGGAGUCUGACAUGCGUGCGAGUCGACGGGUUUUGAAACCUGGGAUGCGCAAGGAAGCUGACGAGCGGGAGGCCCUCACGGGCCGCACCGCUGGCCGACCCUGAUUCUCUGUGAAGGGUUCGAGUUGGAGCACGCCUGUCGGGACCCGAAAGAUGGUGAACUAUGCCUGAGCGGGGCGAAGCCAGAGGAAACUCUGGUGGAGGCUCGAAGCGAUACUGACGUGCAAAUCGUUCGUCUGACUUGGGUACAGGGGCGAAAGACUAAUCGA